ensembl:lncRNA
UCAGAUGCACAAGGUUGAAUAUUACCCGUAAACUACCUGACUCUGCUAAGGUCUUAACAGCACGAAGCGCUAUGUCAUGCCCAGCUUUUAAAAGUCUCUGAAAUACUUGGACAGGAUGAAGCUUGUUGAAGGAAUUUUACCACAGCCAUUGGCAGCACUGGGAAUGGUAUGAGCAAAUGAUGACAUUGGGGGAGCUCAAUGUGGAAGGUAAUGCAGACAAAUUGUUUGCAAAAUGUGCCAUCUUCCCUGAAAAAUAAUUUUGCUCACUCCAUCAUGACUAUCCUUGUUUAUUGACAUGUGCUUUGUUUUUUUUGUUUGUCUUAAAAUACAAAGUGAGCAAGAUUGUGCUGCUUUCUUUAAGUUAGAGGGUCUGAAUGAGAAUUUUAUUAGUAUUGUCAUGUUGAUGUCUUACACACACUCAUCAAUUCACUGAAAAUGUUAUUUCCAAAGAAUUAUUAUUAAAAUUUGACACCUUAUAGUAGGUGUUGUGCUCUUUAAAAACAAUCGAAAAACACCAACAAAAAAAACAUACCCUUUGCUCUGGCUUUUCCCCUUAAACUCAGAGAAAAGAAAGAAGAUUUUUUUUUUUUUAAAACGUCAUCGUAUACUAGUUUCUAUUUAUUAUUUUCCAAUACAUGUUAAAAUCUAGUUUCUAUUUUAACUCAACUUCCUUUUGCUUAAAUGAUUCUCUGAAUCCUAGUCAUAAGAAUGUUUAAAAGCUGUUCUCUCAUUUAAUAAAAAGAAUUGAAAAUUUUUUCAAUAUAAUUUUAAAGUUUACAGCAAACCAGCUGCCUUUGGAGUAGUUCAGCUGUGCUUCAAAGGUAGACAGGAACUUUGAAAGAUGAAUUGGUAGUUUCCAGGGAUGCUAUUUUAGUUUCUUAAGUUCAAUAAAGCAGUCCAGUUGCCUGCCUAUGAGAUCAGGACCCAGGGUAAAGAUAGAGAGUGGGUGAUUUCAGAACCAAAGGAACCCAGACACCCCAUAACAAAUAUGAACUCUUAAAAAGAAGCAAAAUACAAAAUGAAUGUAAAAAAAAUAUUUAAAAACUGCAACACUGGCCUCAAUCAUUUCCAUGACUCUCAUUUCCACACUUCAUUUUAUACCUUGGGAGUUUACUGAGUUUUAUGUUGCAAGAGUUUUGACGAGCAUGUUUAAAUUCCAGGUGUGUUAUUCUUAUUUUCUUCAUGGAGUUCUUAUAGAUAUAACAUAAACAACCAAAUGAGCUCAGAGUUUUGAAGUUAUAUUCCAUUUACAACUUAAAAAAAUACAUUGCUUACUAAGGAGUUUUUAUACAGAAGGUCCAUUUUCCCCCUUACUUAUGUUACUAUUAAUGGCCUUUAAAAAUACUUAUACAUCAGAUAAAAAAAAAACUGUUGCCAUGAUGGAAGUGUUGUGAAGUAAAUGCAAAUGAAUCCAUUCUAAGCACAUACUGCUAAAGACUGAUCUGAUGUCUUUGCUGGCAAGUCCUUUUUUUGACGAUCCUGCUAUCUCUUGUUUGCUAAGUAAAAUGUUAACCCAAACCAGAUUAUCGUCUUCUUUUGUUAAACUUUAAAAAUGAGCAUGUGUCUGUGAUUUAAAUUUACAGUGUUUUAAGUGACUUUUUCAUUGCUCUUUUUAAAAUCAGUAAAAUAUCAAGAAAGUAUUCACAUGCAUCUAACUGAGGACCAUCUUUGACUCUUUUAUGUAACUUCACAUAAGCAGACAAACCCUACCAUGUCAUACCAUAACAAACAAUUUUAAUUGUGUAGUUACAGUCAAUAACCACUCCUAAUCAGAACAUUUCUGCAUAAAGAAAAUUGUGAUACACUUAUAAAAACAGCCAGCUGUAACAAAAUAGCUGGUGUUUUCAUAGCCAUAAACUCAUAAAAAAGAAAUACACCUUUAUACAGAAAUUUUAUACAGAUGUAGCUUUAAAAUUGAUUGUAAACCAAAGGAAGACACAUUGCAACAUCAAUUAUUUUCACAUUAAUUGCAUAAUUUUCUAAGGUGAUCUAUUAGUUUUAUUUACCUAAGCUUAUUUGCAUGAUAGUAAAAAUUGCAUACAACAAUAAGAGUGAAGCUUAUAGUAUGAAUUGCUUGGAUAACAUAGAGCACUUUUUAUAGGCAACUGUGUAAAGCACAUUUUAUCUAUUUAAAACUUUUAAGACACUUUGUUUUACUGCCCAUCAAAAUACAUUUAUAAAUAGAAAAGAAUCAGUAUGGUAACAAGAG